AUUGAACGCUGGCGGCAGGCCUAACACAUGCAAGUCGAGCGGAGCGGCGGACGGGGGAGUAAUACCUAGGAAUCUGCCUGGUGGUGGGGGAUAAAGUUCGGAAACGGACGCUAAUACCACAUACUAUCAGAUUCGCCUAGGUCGGAUGAGCUUGUUGGGGAGGUAAUGGCUCACCAAGACAACGAUCCGUAACCGGUCUGAGGGGAUGAUCAGUCACACUGGAACGGAGACACGGUCCAGACGCUGACGGGAGGCAGCAGUGGGGAAUAUUGUACAAUGGGCGAAAGCCUGAUCCAGCCAUGCCGCGUGUGGGAAGAAGGUCUUCGGAGUGUAAAGCACUUUAAGUUGGGAGGCGUGACCGACAGAAUAAGCACCGGCUAACUCUGUGCCAGCAGCCGCGGUAAUUC
rnacentral:rRNA from 1 species